rnacentral:rRNA from 1 species
AGUGAACGCUGGCGGUAGGCCUAACACAUGCAAGUCGAACGGCAGCACAGUAAGAGCUUGCUCUUACGGGUGGCGAGUGGCGGACGGGUGAGGAAUACAUCGGAAUCUACUUUUUCGUGGGGGAUAACGUAGGGAAACUUACGCUAAUACCGCAUACGACCUACGGGUGAAAGCAGGGGAUCUUCGGACCUUGCGCGAUUGAAUGAGCCGAUGUCGGGUUAGCUAGUUGGCGGGGUAAAGGCCCACCAAGGCGACGAUCCGUAGCUGGUCUGAGAGGAUGAUCAGCCGCACUGGAACUGAGACACGGUCCAGACUCCUACGGGAGGCAGCAGUGGGGAAUAUUGGACAAUGGGCGCAAGCCUGAUCCAGCCAUACCGCGUGGGUGAAGAAGGCCUUCGGGUUGUAAAGCCCUUUUGUUGGGAAAGAAAAGCAGCAGGUUAAUACCCCGCUGUUCUGACGGUACCCAAAGAAUAAGCACCGGCUAACUUCGUG